GACGAACGCUGGCGGCGUGCUUAACACAUGCAAGUCGAACGGAAAGGCCCUGCUUUUGUGGGGUGCUCGAGUGGCGAACGGGUGAGUAACACGUGAGUAACCUGCCCUUGACUUUGGGAUAACUUCAGGAAACUGGGGCUAAUACCGGAUAGGAGCUCUUGCUGCAUGGUGGGGGUUGGAAAGUUUCGGCGGUUGGGGAUGGACUCGCGGCUUAUCAGCUUGUUGGUGGGGUAGUGGCUUACCAAGGCUUUGACGGGUAGCCGGCCUGAGAGGGUGACCGGCCACAUUGGGACUGAGAUACGGACCAGACUCCUACGGGAGGCAGCAGUGGGGAAUAUUGCACAAUGGGCGGAAGCCUGAUGCAGCAACGCCGCGUGCGGGAUGACGGCCUUCGGGUUGUAAACCGCUUUCGCCUGUGACGAAGCGUGAGUGACGGUAAUGGGUAAAGAAGCACCGGCUAACUACGUG
rnacentral:rRNA from 1 species